AUGGUUGAACAACAGUGUUGUGAAUCUAAUCAGGAGAUUGUAAAAUUUACUAAAUUUUUUACUAUUUAAUGUAUAAGAAAUGUUUAAAUAUUAAGAAUUCUCAGUAAAGACAAAUUCAGCCGAUUUACAAGUUUUAGUUAAAAUUAAGGCAGAUAUGGGCCACAUUAUUCUUUGAAGUGUUGCUCCUUUAUAGUGUCUGAUUCUGUGAAUUGCAAAACAGUACGUGGAAAAUGAAAUAUCUCGUGAAGCGAGAAAAAACCCUGCAGGCUCCAUUCUAAAGAGUUUCAAUAUGCCUGGUCAUCAAUGAAAUGCUCUUCCCUUUCAACCAAUAACCUGUCACAUACCUGACGGAUAAUAACAUUGUUGGCAACUCAUAUAUCGGAAACAUAAAAAAUGCCAAUCUGAAAGUACACUAAUGUUGUGAAUAAUUUGCACUGCUGGACCGAGCAUAAUAACAAUUAUGGAAACACAUCACAUAACAGAAACUAUAUCAGUGUAAAACUGGCAAAUGAAGUAAAGAAAUCUGAGUCAGUCUCUACAUGCCUUAAAGUAUGGGGCUUCCUGCUGUGGCCUUAGGACAAACUACUGCUGCAAAGGAAGAUACUUCCAUGACUGUGAAUUGUUGAGCUACCUGCCGUCCUUAUAUACGCAACGGCAUAUUUACUGUAUGUUUCACAUUCUACCUUGACCUUUUGCAGUGAUCUCGACUAGAAGAAUGACCUUAGGCAAUUCUAUUACAGAGAAUAAAAUAUCCUCUGGCUCUUUGAUUGUAGAUCUGCCGCGUUUAGUGCUUUUAUGGUGUUUCAGGCCUUGGAACGUGGAUUUGAAAUUCACAUGCUAGGCACCUUUCGUAAUUUUUGGAUAUACCGAUCACACACCAUCACAGCUGAGCGAUCCACAAAUGGACUUUCUGUAAGUGUUCCCUAAGUAUGAGACGGGAUAUGGGAAUCCGUUUAUUUUUUAAAUGGCUACGCUGACGAAAAACUAAUCCAUUUUUGAAAAUCAGCGUUCAAUUCUGUAUAAAAUGUAUGAUUUUCGUUGAAUUCCACGAGGUGUCGUUUUGGGGGAAUUUUGACAAAAGUGAGAGGGGUUAUAGGCUAUAACCCCUUUCAAAAAUGAAAAGUGGAAAGGCUAUAACUUAUAGCCUUUCCACUUUUAAUUUUUGACAAAAUUCUAGAUAUAAUUAAAAAUAAAGGGUGUCGAUUCAGAAUUCAACGAAAAUUACGAAAAUUAAGUUUAUUUUUUCAUUGGGACCAUAGUUUUUUGUAAAAUGUUAAAUGUAAAAAAAUA